UUUAACUGUGGUCCAAAAUGAUUCUUUAUAUCCACUAGAGCUCCUAGUCAACUCAAAACAGGGUCAGAAUACAGAAUAUAGAGUUCAGAAAUCUCAAAUGGAUUAACUAUAAUCACAAUGUGUAUUACCCAUAAAAAUACACAAUAUAUUUUUUUUUUCCAAAGGGAAAAUAUACUUAAAAAAAAGAUAGGCUUUUAGAUACCAAGUUGACAGAAAGAGAUGGUAAGGACUGAAAAAUGAUUUUACACUAUGCUGUCCCAACAUCAGGGCUGAUGGCUGAGAUUUGCAGCAGCAACACAUGGUUGGGGGAGAGAGGGGAAGAGGGCUUGCCAAUUUCCUGCAAGAUGCUGAACUCUCAAGCAAAAGAGCAUGAAUUCAAUGCUUUAGAGUUUUCAUUUACAAAAUACAAAUACAAUACAGAUACAGUUUUCAUUUUCAAAAUACUAUUUUGACAUAAUACAUUCCGUACAAUGUUACUUCAGAGGCAAUUACAUAAAUCUGGUAUUGCUCAGUGAAAUUCACCCCUGUACAGUGGCAAACAGCUUUUAAAAUACUUGAAGUGUUAAAGAUUCAUAUGUAUACAUAUUUCCAAACUUCACCCUCAUUCCAAAACAAUUCAGAACACAAUCUAAAAUCCUCUUCACAAUCAACACAGCACGGAGAUGGCAUUGUAACAUUUUUUAUAGCGUCCAAAAUCCGCUACUUCUGAAGAAAAGCAGCCUUAGUUGAUCAAAGGAAACAACAUGGAAAGAAAGAAUAUUAUAAAGGGUUAGAGACCACAAGUACAUUUAGUAGAAGCAGAAAGACUAACUGAAACAAUUCACAAGAGGGCUGAUUUUUCAACAACUUCCUGUUAGCAAAGUGCUUUGAAGACAAAAUGCUCCAUCCUGAGCUGAGGGUUGUUCCAGAUUUUAAAAGAUGCCGAGUGCAGUCUUAGACUGUUUUACAAUUAUAUGCUGUAGUUUCUUGUACUUUGAAGGACUCCUAUGAACUGUACACAAAAAUCAGGCAGUGCCGACCCAGAUUUAAUUUGAUCGUGGCAAAUUUUCCCUGCAGUCAGCUUGAACAUACCUGGGUAAGGGCUUAGUAAAAUGAAGCCAAUAUUGCCUCCUUGUUCUCCUGAAGAAAUGCAUAUUAUUGGAGUAUUUACGACAGGAAGCACUUAUUUCAUAUCAAUUUCACCACAGAACUUGAUGGGCAAAAUGUCUGACUCAUUUUGAAUCCUUUCACCUCAGAAAAAGCUUCCUGGAAUAUUCCAAAUGAGGAACAGUACUGGCCUGUGAAAAACCAAAUAUGCGGCAGUGAGGAUCAGAAGUGAUAGAAGACAGUAGGUUUGAGACAAUAGGUCAACAUUCCCCUGUUUUAUCCCCUACCUACCUGUCUCUCGCUUAUUAUCUCCCAUCGCCUCUGAUCUUCACUGGCGCACACUUGCAUUUUCACAGACCUGCACUUUGUAUAUUGGCUUCAAUUCCA